AUGUCUGGUAUCCAGUCCAGCAUCUCAUGUGGUCUUCAUUUCAUUGUUGCUUCCACCAUUUGGAGUCUUAAGUUAGAAAGGAAAGAACUCUAUUUCAAAAGCAAACUACAAAAAAACAGAAGGCAACAUCAGGGUCUCUGCAUUCAUAUUCUUCAGAAGCUACAAACAACAAAUUUGUUGACUAGCUCCAACAGUAGGCAUCAUAUGGCCAGUGUAGUGGCAAGAUGUCACCAUAGAGCUCAGCAAUGUACCCUCGACGCCGGCAGUGGCGUUUCUCCUAAGCAGGGACAUGACAUACUCCAUCACCCCGGCAUCACAAGGCAGUGUGAUCUUCCCAUCGCUUGCAAAGCCAAAUUCCUCCUGAGACAUCCUUAG
rnacentral:rRNA from 1 species